UUAUAUGAUAAAAAUAAUUAUUAUUGAUAAGGCCGCGCACUUGCUCUCAGAAUUGGGGAAAAUUCUAAAAAUAGCUUAAAUACAAUGCACUUUGGUUGUGUAUGAUGUCAGUGUAAUAGAGGCUUCAUACAAUCGUGAUUCUGAAAUUUUUUAUUAUGUUAAGUAAACUAAGUAGUUAAUAGUUAAGUGAUAAUCAACAACUUAAAUCAAUUGCUCAAUCUUUAAAUUGUUUAAAGAUUAAACAUUGAAAGAUUAAAGAAUUGAUUUAAACAUCAAUUCUUUUUUCAAACAAAUGUUUUAUAAUACAAGUAAACAUAAAAAUUCUUCAACAUUUAAAUGUUUGUAUGUGCACACAAAAGAAAAUUAAUAUCAGUUUCCCAUACUUCAAAUGCCAAUCUUAGAAUUCGCAUUAAGCUCAUUCAUCCUAACAAGUUGGAUGAAUUUAAUGUCAUCUUUAAAAAUAGGCUUGAUAGAUCUAAAGCUGCAAAUAAAAAACAGUUAAAAAUUCAAGACGUUGAAAAAUGUUUAAAAAAUUAACUCAAACUGAAUUUGAAAGUGUUAAUUUGAAGUUAAUAAUACAGUUUCACCUUUUUCAUUAAUUGAACAUCCAGCUUUCAUAGAUUAUUGCAAACUGAUAUCUCAAAAAGUUCCAGAAUCGCAUAGGACAUUAAUGAGAGAUUGUUGGUCAGUUUUUUAUAGAAUUUUCCAUUGAAAGAACAGUAAAGUGAUUUUACAUCAAAAAUUGUGAUUUGAUCCUGUAAACCUUAAAAAGUCCAGCAAAGUUUUUGCUUGUAGACGUAUGUUUGGUAGACGUACUUUUGAAAAUAAAGCUAAACUUAUUGAUAACGUUUUAAAUAAGUUUGAUUUGUAAAACAAAACCACACUUAUUGUUACUCACAAUGCUGCCAAUUUUGUGAAAGUUUUUAAAAUAUUUUAUGGAAAUGACAAACCAACGGAUGAUUUAAAUAUAAAUGAGGAAGAUGCUAUUACAAAUAUAGACAUUUCUGAUGUAUUAGAUGAUAAUUUGACCAUAAAUAAUUUUGAACAUUUGGUUAUACCUCCAUGCCAGCGAUGUGCUGCUCACACCAUCAAUCUUGUUGUAACAGUAGAUUGUUUAGAAACACUUAGUGAUGAAAUUUAUAAAAGACUUAGAUGUAUUUUUUCUGAUGUCAUGUGUUGUUUAAUAAACAAAAUCAGUCCACACAAUGUGCAGACCGAAUAAAAGAGACUUUUGAUUGUUAUUUUAUUGUACCAAAUGCAAUUAGGUUAGAGUGUACCUAGCACCAUACAUUAGUGCUUCGCUUCCAGGUUUUAUUCAAAUAUCUACGACUCAUUAUU